GACGAACGCUGGCGGCGUGCCUAAUACAUGCAAGUCGAGCGGAACUGGGGGAGCUUGCUCCUUCCAGUUUAGCGGCGGACGGGUGAGUAACACGUGGGCAACCUGCCCUGCAGAUCGGGAUAACUCCGGGAAACCGGUGCUAAUACCGAAUAGUUUGGCGCCUCGCCUGAGGCGCUACGGAAAGACGGUUUCGGCUGUCCCUGCAGGAUGGGCCCGCGGCGCAUUAGCUAGUUGGUGGGGUAACGGCCCACCAAGGCGACGAUGCGUAGCCGACCUGAGAGGGUGACCGGCCACACUGGGACUGAGACACGGCCCAGACUCCUACGGGAGGCAGCAGUAGGGAAUCUUCCGCAAUGGACGCAAGUCUGACGGAGCAACGCCGCGUGAGUGACGAAGGUCUUCGGAUCGUAAAACUCUGUUGUGAGGGAAGAACACGUACCAACUAACUAUUGGUACCUUGACGGUACCUCACCAGAAAGCCACGGCUAACUACGUGCCAGCCGCCGCCGUAA
rnacentral:rRNA from 1 species